rnacentral:piRNA from 1 species
AGAGAAGACACUCGUGGAGGCGUCGGC